ACCAGAGGUUUUCAUGUCACGUGACAUACGUAACGACGUAAUCCCAUGACCUUGCAUCGUUCGUUCUGAGUUUUGCUGCUGUCCGCAAAUACCUCGCUUCGAUGAAGACGGCGUUUGGUUUUUCAAGGAAACUUGUUUAAACAAGGUUUGCUGUUUCCUGAAAAGGUCACAAUUUUAGCCAUAUUACUGAAUUUGAUCCUUUUUGAUGGGCGGACAUGGCAGUGAAAAAGCUAGCCAAGUUGCGAGUUGUUUUGAAUCCUGAUGACACCAGGAAGCUAAUUCUGCCUGAUGGAAUUCAGGCAGAAUUCCAGAGUUAAUGGAGCAGCUUAUGGAUGAAGUCUGGAAAGUGUGUGGGUUAAAUGGGAAUUUCAGACUGCAGUACCAAGACAGAGACUUUGGAGAUGCGCUAGUGAACUUGACAUCUACUGCUGAACUUGAGGAUUU